CAGUUGACUGCAAGUAACUACAGCUGCAGAAAGCAAAGCCACGGUUAAGGGAAGAUUACUAUAUUAACAUUAGCAUCAAAGAUAUCCUUUCAGUGUCUGGAAACAGUAAAUAGUAAAGACACACACUGGAAAUCCAGCCUGCAAGAAAAUUUAUUAGUGGAGAGGACCUACAAAGUUGUGAAAAUCAGAAUCAUUAUAUGAGAGUGAGAAUGAGAAAUGGGAGAAUGAAGACCAGAAACUUCAGAAGACAAAGGUUGGCUAUAAGUUCUACAGAGUCCAGGGAUUAUAGAACGCCAAUGGCAUUUUGGCCACAAUAAAUCUAAUACUGACUGCAACAUCACUGUCACCACAUUCCUGAGAAGAUUACUUCUUUUUGGAGAUAUCUGUAAGUAAUCUAUUGUAAUGUCAUAAACAUGUGGGAGCCCUUGCCUACUUCAUCAUUACAUCAUGCCAGUUCUUUCUCUGAAAUAUGUUAAGGUAGAUCACUUCUCUCCAUUUAAUUUCUACCUCAACACCUGAAUUUUACAUUCCUUAUAACUUUUUUUGUGUUAAGCUUCUAGUUUUUGUUCUA